AUACGUAGGUGACAAGCGUUAUCCGGAUUUACUGGGCGUAAAGGGCGUGUAGGCGGUCUUGCAAGUCAGAAGUGAAAUUCCUGAGCUCAACUCGGGCGCUGCUUCUGAAACUGCAGGACUUGAGUGCUGGAGGGGAUAGCGGAAUUCCUAGUGGAGCGGUAAAAUGCGCAGAUAUUAGGAAGAACACCGGUGGCGAAGGCGGCUACCUGGACAGUAACUGACGCUGAGGCGCGAAAGCGUGGGGAGCAAACAGGAUUAGAUACCCUGGUAGUCCACGCCGUAAACGACGAAUACUAGGUGUAGGGGGUAUCGACUCCCUCUGUGCCGCAGUUAACACAAUAAGUAUUCCGCCUGGGGAGUACGGCCGCAAGGUUGAAACUCAAAUGAAUUGACGGGG
rnacentral:rRNA from 1 species